rnacentral:lncRNA from 1 species
GGGUGUUAAAAGGGCAUGACUGGGGUGUUAGAUAGGACAUUAUAAAAAAUGUGUGAUAGAUACAAUAGAACAAUUAUUACAAAGAUAUGAUGUCUGUAUGUAUUAUAUAGUUGAUUGUGUAUGACUGGGAUGUCCCAAAUGCCUGACUAGGGUGCUAUGAGGGCAUGACUGGGGUGUUAGAUGAAGACAUUAUAAAUGAAGGUGUGAUAGAUACAAUAGAACAAUUAUUACAAAGAUAUGAUGUCUGUAUGUAUUAUAUAGUUGAUUGUGUAUGACUGGGAUGUCCCAAAUGCCUGACUAGGGUGUUACAAGGGCAUGACUGGGGUGUUAGAUGAAGACAUUAUAAAUGAAUGUGUGAUAGAUACAAUAGAACAAUUAUUACAAAGAUAUGAUGUCUGUAUGUAUUAUAUAGUUGAUUGUGUAUGACUGGGAUGUCCCAAAUGCCUGAUUAGGGUGUUACAAGGGCAUGACUGGGGUGUUAGAUGAAGACAUUAUAAAUGAAGGUGUGAUAGAUACAAUAGAACAAUUAUUACAAAGAUAUGAUGUCUGAAUGUAUUAUAUAGUUGAUUGUGUACGACUAGGAUGUCACAAAUUCCUGACUAGGGUGUUACAAGGGCAUGACUGGGGUGUUAUAUGAAGACAUUAUAAAAGAAUGUGGGAUAGAUACAAUAGAACAAUUAUUACAAAGAUAUGAUGUCUGUAUGUAUUAUAUAGUUGAUUGUGUAUGACUGGGAUGUCCCAAAUGCCUGACUAGGGUGCUAUGAGGGCAUGACUGGGGUGUUAGAUGAAGACAUUAUAAAUGAAGGUGUGAUCGAUACAAUAGAACAAUGAUUACAAAGAUAUGAUGUCUGUAUGUAUUAUAUAGUUGAUUGUAUACGACUAAGAGUCACAAAUGCCUGACUAGGGUGUUAAAAGGGCAUGAGUGGGGUGUUAGAUAGGACAUUAUAAAAAAAUGUGUGAUAGAUACAAUAGAACAAUUAUUACAAGGAUAGGAUGUCUGUAUGUAUUAUAUAGUUGAUUGUGUAUGACUGAGAUGUCCCAAAUGCCUGAUUAGGGUGUUACAAGGGCAUGACUGGGGUGUUAGAUGAAGACAUUAUAAAUGAAGGUGUGAUAGAUACAAUAGAACAAUUAUUACAAA